rnacentral:rRNA from 1 species
GACGAACGCUGGCGGCGUGCCUAAUACAUGCAAGUCGUGCGGACCUUUUAAAAGCUUGCUUUUAAAAGGUUAGCGGCGGACGGGUGAGUAACACGUGGGCAACCUGCCUGUAAGACUGGGAUAACGCCGGGAAACCGGGGCUAAUACCAGAUCGUUUUUUCCUCCGCAUGGAGGAAAAAGGAAAGGCGGCUUCGGCUGCCACUUACAGAUGGGCCCGCGGCGCAUUAGCUAGUUGGCGGGGUAACGGCCCACCAAGGCAACGAUGCGUAGCCGACCUGAGAGGGUGAUCGGCCACAUUGGGACUGAGACACGGCCCAAACUCCUACGGGAGGCAGCAGUAGGGAAUCUUCCGCAAUGGACGAAAGUCUGACGGAGCAACGCCGCGUGAGUGAAGAAGGCCUUCGGGUCGUAAAACUCUGUUGCCGGGGAAGAACAAGUGCCGUUCGAACAGGGCGGCGCCUUGACGGUACCCGGCCAGAAAGCCACGGCUAACUACGUG